UACGAAGGGGGCUAGCGUUGUUCGGAAUCACUGGGCGUAAAGGGCGCGUAGGCGGACUCUUAAGUCGGUGGUGAAAUCCUGGAGCUCAACUCCAGAACUGCCUUCGAUACUGAGAGUCUCGAGUCCGAGAGAGGUGAGUGGAACUGCGAGUGUAGAGGUGAAAUUCGUAGAUAUUCGCAAGAACACCAGUGGCGAAGGCGGCUCACUGGCUCGGUACUGACGCUGAGGUGCGAAAGCGUGGGGAGCAAACAGG
rnacentral:rRNA from 1 species